GACGAACGCUGGCGGCGUGCUUAACACAUGCAAGUCGAACGGAAAGGCCCUGCCUUUGUGGGGUGCUCGAGUGGCGAAAGGGUGAGUAACACGUGAGUAACCUGCCCUUGACUUUGGGAUAACUUCAGGAAACUGGGGCUAAUACCGGAUAGGAGCUCCUGCUGCAUGGUGGGGGUUGGAAAGUUUCGGCGGUUGGGGAUGGACUCGCGGCUUAUCAGCUUGUUGGUGGGGUAGUGGCUUACCAAGGCUUUGACGGGUAGCCGGCCUGAGAGGGUGACCGGCCACAUUGGGACUGAGAUACGGCCCAGACUCCUACGGGAGGCAGCAGUGGGGAAUAUUGCACAAUGGGCGGAAGCCUGAUGCAGCAACGCCGCGUGCGGGAUGACGGCCUUCGGGUUGUAAACCGCUUUCGCCUGUGACGAAGCGUGAGUGACGGUAAUGGGUAAAGAAGCACCGGCUAACUACGUG
rnacentral:rRNA from 1 species